rnacentral:lncRNA from 1 species
CAGCUGUGAAGCUGCCAUUAAACAGGGACCUGUGGCCAGCAGGAAUCCCGAGCCCGUUGAAAACGGGAGAGCCGAAGAGGAGGAGGCCAUGCAGGUCACUGAGGCCUCCUCCAAGAGAGGGCGAACCGCCUCGAGCGGGGACGAGCGCCCUAUAGAGAAAAAGCGAGGAAAGAAGGCCAACGCCUCUGGAGGUAAGCAGGAACUGCCUGCCCCUCGUGCUGCUGGAUCUGCAGCGACCGGCGGGGAGUCGGAUUACGACACCUCGACCAGUGGGCUGCAGAGCGAGAGCACCGGCUUGUCUUCUACCUCCGAGUCGGAGGAGGAGAACUUU